rnacentral:rRNA from 1 species
AUUGAACGCUGGCGACAUGCCUUACACAUGCAAGUCGAACGGCAGCACGGGUGCUUGCACCUGGUGGCGAGUGGCGAACGGGUGAGUAAUACAUCGGAACAUGUCCUGUAGUGGGGGAUAGCCCGGCGAAAGCCGGAUUAAUACCGCGUACGAUCUACGGAUGAAAGCGGGGGACCUUCGGGCCUCGCGCUAUAGGGUUGGCCGAUGGCUGAUUAGCUAGUUGGUGGGGUAAAGGCCUACCAAGGCGACGAUCAGUAGCUGGUCUGAGAGGACGACCAGUCACACUGGGACUGAGACACGGCCCAGACUCCUACGGGAGGCAGCAGUGGGGAAUUUUGGACAAUGGGCGAAAGCCUGAUCCAGCAAUGCCGCGUGUGUGAAGAAGGCCUUCGGGUUGUAAAGCACUUUUGUCCGGAAAGAAAUCCUUGGCCCUAAUACGGUCGGGGGAUGACGGUACCGGAAGAAUAAGCACCGGCUAACUACGU